rnacentral:tRNA from 1 species
GGUGGCUCAAUGGUAAAGUGCUUGCUUCACAUGCAAGAGGCCCUAGGUUCAAUUCCUCAGCACCA